CCAGGGCAAUGUGAAGCCAGAAAAUGUACAUAUAAACUAUGCCUCUCUACAGGAGAAAGGAGACACUAUAACUAAUCUAAGCGUGGAGCAAGGACAGCUAGUUUACACCAUGGAAUCUGUCUUCACUGUGAGGCAGGGAGAGCAACUGGGAAGAAGCCUUCAGCUUAGUCACUGAUCGUGUUUAAUCUUGGACUGGGGAGAACGCACCCAUGAGGACACUCCCUGGCUUCCUCAUACCCCCGGUGGAAGGUUCACCUGGAAUAUGAAAGGGCAAUGAACUUGGAUUCCUCAAAGACCGUGUAGAGCAGAAGACCUUGCCUGCCUACCCACACUGCUGUGUGAGAUGAAGCUCCAGAAAAAACUCUGAUGACAAAUAAAUAUAAACAAAUAAAAAAU